rnacentral:rRNA from 1 species
GACGAACGCUGGCGGCGUGCCUAAUACAUGCAAGUCGAACGCAGUGGGGACGGGGGAGUAACACGUGGGCAACCUCCCAUCAGAGGGGAGAAAACGUGGAAACAGGUGCUAAACUGAUACUGAUGGAUGGACACGCGGGGCAUUAGCCAGUUGGGGAGGUAGAGGCUCACCAAGGCCACGAUGCAUAGCUGACCUGAGAGGGUGAUCGGCCACACUGGAACUGAGACACGGUCCAGACUCCUACGGGAGGCAGCAGUAGGGAAUCUUCCGCAAUGGGCGAAAGUCUGACCGAGCAACGCCGCGUGUGUGAAGAAGGUCUUCGGAUCGUAAAACUCUGUUAUUAGGGAAGCGUUAUCUAACCAGAAAGCCACGGCUAACUACGUGCCAGCAGCCGCGGUAAUAC